GUGCUAAUACAUGCAAGUCGAGCGAAUGGAUUAAGAGCUUGCUCUUAUGAAGUUAGCGGCGGACGGGUGAGUAACACGUGGGUAACCUGCCCAUAAGACUGGGAUAACUCCGGGAAACCGGGGCUAAUACCGGAUAACAUUUUGAACCGCAUGGUUCGAAAUUGAAAGGCGGCUUCGGCUGUCACUUAUGGAUGGACCCGCGUCGCAUUAGCUAGUUGGUGAGGUAACGGCUCACCAAGGCAACGAUGCGUAGCCGACCUGAGAGGGUGAUCGGCCACACUGGGACUGAGACACGGCCCAGACUCCUACGGGAGGCAGCAGUAGGGAAUCUUCCGCAAUGGACGAAAGUCUGACGGAGCAACGCCGCGUGAGUGAUGAAGGCUUUCGGGUCGUAAAACUCUGUUGUUAGGGAAGAACAAGUGCUAGUUGAAUAAGCUGGCACCUUGACGGUACCUAACCAGAAAGCCACGGCUAACUACGUGCCAGCAGCCGCGGUAAUA
rnacentral:rRNA from 1 species